UUUAAAAAUUAUAAUUUCUAAACUAAUUAUUAUGGCAUUAAAAAUAAUUUAUUACUACUUUUUGCUAUGGUUUUGCUUAUAUUUUGCUUCUCUUUUGCUUUUGUUUUGCUUGUUGUCUUCAAAUAUAGUUCUUCCAAAAUUUCUACUUAAUUGAUUCUUAAAAGAUGAUUUCAUUGCUUAAAUUAUGUUUACAUAUUUUGUUUGAAUUUUUUAUUAGAAUAACACUUACUAAAAUUAAAUUAUUAAUAUUAAAAAAACAUUACUAGUUUGCCUCAAAAUACAAUUUUUCAAGCCACUAGAAUUUUCGAUAAUAUGGAAAGCAAUAGUAUCCCACCACAAUAGUUUUGUAAAAUAGGCUUACAUUAAUUUACCCAACUUGAACUAAAUAGAGCCUAAUAACUAAAAUCUUCCACUCACACGACUGUGGAGCGAUUGGACAAGACGAAAACGAUUCGAUCUGUUAAUUUCAAGGGCCAAGGCCCAAAGGGAUUUCUGAGAACCAGGUUUGGUUCUAAAAUAAAUGUCAUUUUGCUCCUAACCAUAAGUAUGAGGGUUGUUAACAAUUUCUCUAGAAUUUAUAUGUUUAUGACAAUAUAAGUUAAAUUUCAAAAUCUUCAUAACUAUUUAUAUCAUAUAUGCCUAGCGAACAAUAUUCCUAAUUAUCAGAUCUAGCAGUAUAGAAAAAUCGUAACUAUAAUAUCACUCUUUUUCAUAUAAAACCUUUUAUGGUUGUCUAUCUUAAUCAGUAAUAUUUCGAAUUAAAAUUUUCAAAUUGAAAUCCAAAACAAAAAAAUUUUGCUCGUACCGUCCAGAAGAUAAACAAUCUCGGCUGGCUGUCCCAUAUAUCUGCGGAUAAACCUGAAUAUCAAAAUAAACAAACUUACAGUUAUACUAAAUUUACAUAUAUAAGUCUUUUUUUAAUCGAAAUACAAAAUCUGAUAAGAUAUUAAUAAUAACGUUACCUGCCAGCCGGCCUCUAUACUGUUGAGGUCAUUGUUUUCGUAGGACCUAACACCAGCCAUAGUUGACCCAAACUGAAUUUCGUAGCGUUGUUGUCAAUUUUCCAAUGUCAUACAUUCAUAGUGACUUUAGUUCUGUAUAUCCUAGGUGGAUUUUCCAUAGAACAACAACAUACUAUAUCCAAAAAAAAUAAAAAUAUCCUGAUUAGUUAUUUUUAGUUUUGUCAUUGAAAUAAUGAAAUAAUAAUAUCGAAAGUUAGUUUUGAAUGAAUUCUUUAACAUAGAAAUCCAAAAUAGAACUACUAUUCUAACAUUAGCAAAAUCACCCAAACGUUAUCUACCAUUACGAAUCAAACAAUUAAUUAGUUUCAAAUACAAAGAUUGAAUAACAUAUAACAAAAACGCAGAAAGAUCCUUGAACUUGGGGAUUUUAUCAACUCUUUA
rnacentral:sRNA from 1 species